UGAGCGUUGUCCGAGUCCCAUGGGAGAAUCAGCCGUCGACUCUGCCAGUCUGACAUUGUAUUCACCAUUGGAGGCAAGAAGUCCAAGCUGGAACCCGAGUAGGUGUGAUCCCUUCUCCAUUAUCACACUAUUGGCCCUUGGCCCUUGAUCUUUAUUAGCAUGCCAUAGGGUCUGCCUAAAAUCUUGAGUUGCCAGAUUUGAUCAUGCUUGUUUAUCCAGGUUUUGAAUAAUAUUGAGAUGCUGACCGAUCAGCAGUUUGGGCCUUUCUGUGUUGAACUUUUAGAUGUGUCCUUCUGUGUAGUGUUUUCACAUGCUUAGCACUGAAGAAUUCAUUUUUGAACAGAAAUCAUUUAUCUUUCUGAUUUUAAAGCUAGAAUAUUGUUUUUGUAGAAGGAACACUCUAUUUGGCGAGAUUUUAAUUUUUAGUUGGGUCUCUGAUUUCAAAUCCCGAUUCCAUGUGCAACCAAACAAUAGAAUUCUAGAAAGCUGAUUACACUUUCUAAUUCCAUGCUCCAAUAUCUAUAUCCAAAUGGGGUAUUAGGGUACUAAACAAGUUACCAAAAGGAAACAAUUGUUAGUCCAAAAACCUUCUCAUUCUCGGUUGCCUGGAUUUUUCUGUAUCGUAACAAUUCAAGUAUGGGCCUUGAUGUUUCGUUAGUAUCAUUGCCAUUAUUUGUGCCUGCCUUUGCUUUUCUAUUAAUUCUCCAUUUUCAGGUUUAUGAUCAAUAUGAUUUUAUUGUUUUUAGUGUGCAACAUGAAUACCAUGUCUAAUUUAGUAAUCAUGAGUCUAUUAUUUAUCUGAGCUGUGUUUCCCUUUUUCUUUAGAAUUCAGCUCCAAGUCGAUGCCUACUCACCGCUUUACAGGCUGGACAAUAGAUAUAGAGGAGAUUAUUAUGGACGUAGAUACAUAGAGGAUAUCACUAAGAUUGUACUGUGUUUUUUUACAAGAAGAUUCUUUGUAGUAAUUAUUUUCGCUAACUGAAUUAACAUGUAUGUUUAGAUGUCUGUAGUACAUGUAUUAUUUGCAUACGACUAUAUUUAAUUCUAUUUACAUUUCUAAGACAUAUAUGACACAUCCCCGUCAUGUGUUUCC
rnacentral:lncRNA from 1 species